CGCGAUUGGACCGCAAACGGUAAUCCCUCUCCUCUGACCUCCGCCGAUUAUCAGAAGCUUACUUCUGCCAUCGAAAGGAAACAGCAGCUCGCACGGAGUCAUCCAUGGCAGAAGGAGCAGAGCACGCGAUACAGACGAAAGAUCGAGACUUUGCCAAAUUGGAGCACGGCUGCGAGCACUACCGGAGACGCUGCAAGAUUCGAGCCCCGUGCUGCGAUCGGGUCUUCCCGUGCCGCCACUGCCACAACGAGUUCACGAGCUCGCUGAGCAACCUGAAAGAUCAUCAUGAGCUGGUGCGGCACGACGUGAAGAGGGUCGUCUGUUCUGUUUGCGACACGGAGCAAGAGGCUGCUCAAGUUUGUUCGAAAUGCGGUGUGAACAUGGGAGAAUAUUUCUGUGGAACUUGCAAGUUUUAUGAUGAUCAGACCGAAAAGGAGCAAUUUCAUUGUGAGGAAUGUGGAAUUUGUAGAGUUGGAGGUCGUGAAAAUUUCUUCCAUUGUCCAAAGUGCGGAUCUUGUUAUGUUAUGUCGUUACGUGAUAAUCAUGUAUGCGUGGAGAAUUCAAUGAAGAGCCAUUGCCCUGUCUGCUAUGAGUAUCUAUUUGACUCGAUGAAAGGAACAACAAUCUUGAAAUGUGGACACACAAUUCAUAUGGACUGUGUCAAAGAAAUGGCUGACCAAAAUCAGUAUCGUUGUCCCAUUUGCUUGAAGACAGUUAUGGAAAAGUCUGAAGACUGGAGAAUGCUGGAUGCAGAGAUUGCAGAAACGGUCAUGCCUAAAGAAUAUCAGUAUAAGGUCACGAUUCUCUGCAAUGACUGCAACAAAGCAGGGCACGUUCCAUUUCACAUUUUUGGGCUGAAGUGCAGCGAAUGCCGUUCAUACAACACUCGAAGAAUAUCAGCUGUGGACCAUCAGCAAGAUGAUUCAGGUGAAAGUUCAACUCGCGGUCCUCGUACAACUUAGUGAAUCCUGGACUCAAAUACCUGGAUCUUUGCUCUCUCAUUCGACAUUGGCCCGGGAGGUGCUUCUUCAGCAGUCCAGUUUUGUCGUCCAACACAAUCUUCUCAUCACCCAUCACGGCGAAACUUCUCAUCGCCCGUCACGGCGAAACUGACUCGGGCUAAUCAGGGUGAAGCGUUCAACGCCGAUCCACGUGGAGAGAGGUACGCAUCCGGGAACGAGAUCUCUCUCUCUUUUAUCACCGCCCAUGAGGCAUCCUAAGUGCAGUUUGCGUUCAACUUCAUGUUGUUGUCAUGAGUUAUUGAUGAUGUACCGUAGUUCCGCGAAUAUCGGAUGGUGAAAAUUGACUAGCCGGAAGGGAUCCGUGAACCGAUUUGUCUAGGCGGUCGCAUCUUGGACGGUGAAAAUUGACUUAAUCGGAAUGGAUUCAUGAACCGAUUUGUCUGGGCAGUUGGGCGACGUAACCGGGUCGAAAUGGAUGCUCAGCUCUUUGAUAUUUUUUAUUCAGACAAAGUACGAUGAUGUCCAGUCAUACUACUUUAUGAAAUUCAGGGUACAAGUUAAUGACAUGAAUCUCCACCUCAAAUGAUAACCCGAGUUCGUAAAAUAUCCCCAAACGAUAACGAAUCGAGCGCCGUUGCAUGGGUUGAGGCUAGUCUCAAUCGGUGGGGAACGCGCUGCACUUAAUAAGGCGAAAAAUCGAACGUGGCUGUGCGCUUGAUCUGUGCACAUGUUAAUUUUAGGUUAAUAUCUUGAAAAAUCCUAAACUGAUACAUCU